rnacentral:rRNA from 1 species
AUUGAACGCUGGCGGCAGGCCUAACACAUGCAAGUCGAGCGAGCGGCGGACGGGUGAGUAAUGUAUGGGGACUGCCCGAUAGAGGGGGAUAACUACUGGAAACGGUUGCUAAUACCGCAUACUGUCCGAUAACCCAUAUGGGAUUAGCUAGUAGGUGGGGUAAAGGCUCACCUAGGCGACGAUCUCUAGCUGGUCUGAGAGGAUGAUCAGCCACCAUGGGACUGAGACAGUGCCCAGGCUCCUACGGAGGCAGCAGUGGUGCAUCGUGCACAAUGGGCGCAAGCCUUAUGCAGCCAUGCCGCGUGUAUGAAGAAGGCCUUAGGGUUGUAAAGUACUUUCAGCGGGGAGGCGUUACCCGCAGAAGAAGCACCGGCUAACUCCGUGCCAGCAGCCGCGGUAAUAC